GGAGAGUUAGCUGAGUUGGUUUCAAGCGCUGGCCUCAUAAGCCAGGGUACGUCGGUUCGAAUCCGUCACUCUCUA
rnacentral:tRNA from 1 species